AUUAUAAACGCUUUAACUGCCUA
rnacentral:siRNA from 1 species